UGCCAGAGGAGAUGCAGUGACCAGGG
rnacentral:piRNA from 1 species